AGCAAAUUUGGGAUGCACAUACAUCCUUUCAUUGGAUUCUUGUUAUAUCCCUUUGAGGUCAGCAUAGCAAGUACUAUAGACUCGCUUUUUUUUUUUCCCCACAGAGGAAGAAACUGAGGCUAUAGAACAAAACUUGCUGAAGGUCACUCAGGUUGGGCUGUGGGACUUGUUUUCCUGCCCCGAGCCCAGCAUCCUUCCCACCAUCCAACACUGUUUCCUUUCUUGGUACCUCCAUUAUUAGAACACCUGGAUAUUCUUAGCUAACAAUGGAUGACAUAAAUAAACACAGGGUCAUUUCCCCACAUUUCCGCACAGGUCCUCUGCAGAUGGCAAAGCCCUUUCUCUAAAUGCACGGCAUGAAAAGGCGUUUCAAAGGGGGAAGCAGGCCCCCCGCAAAGGAGGUAAAUCCCCACAGAUGAAGAUACCUCAUUGAUCCUUCAUUUGUCAGCCAGAAAGGGAAAGACAUUUCAGCAGAGACCUCAAAGACAGAACAAAAUAAAUAGGUGCAAGGAGGCGCACAUCUGCACUAAGUUCUGAGACCCUGCCCAGGAUGAGCUCGAAAAGAAAACGGAGUCUCUUCCCACAGCUGAAACAGCGUCUUGCUCUGUUGCCUAGGCUGGAGUGUAAUGGAAGGAUCAUAACUCACCACAGCCUUGACCUCUUGUGCUCAGUGAUCUGCCCACCUAUCCCCUCCUAGAUAACAAUUCUGCCUCUGAUUCCUGCCUGCAAGUUCAGCUCAUUCAGACCCGUAUUUGUGACCCCCCUCCCUUGGUGCUGAAGACCCGCUGGGGACAGCAGAAUGAACCAGCUCGGAGAGGAGACCGGGAGGCAGGAGCAGGGAAGACCUGAACUUCUAAAGACUCAAGUCAGCCGGGCACGGUGGCUCAUGCCUGUAAUCCCAACACUUUGGGAGGCCAGGUGGGUGGAUCACCUGAGGUCAGGAGUUGGAGACCAGGCUGGUGAACAUGGUAAAACCCGGUGUCUGCUAAAAAUACAAAAACAUUUAAAAAUUUUUAAAAGAAUGAUAGCUGGGCAUGGUGGUGUGUGCCUGUAAUCCCUGCUACUUGGGAGGCUGAGGGGGAAUUGCUUGAACCUGGGAAGCAGAGGUUGCAGUAAGCCGAGAUUGUGCCAUUGCACUCCAGGCUGAGUGACAGAGUGAGACUCUGUCUAAAAAAAAAAAACAAACACUCCAGUCAAUGGCAAAGUCACCCAUGGGGGAACUGAGAGGGGUUCCAGGGAGCUGUGGCCUAGUGAUCAGACAAAGGGCGUAUCCACCACCCAGGGGCCCACAUAAAAGCUCCUGGGUAACCCACAUCUUCACUCGUAAUUAUGGGCAGGACCAGCUUCCUGGGUGCAACCCGUGCAGGCACAUGGGGCCCCACAGUCACAAGAGCCCUGUCGCUGUCUCAGACUUUCUUUCUUUCUUUUUUCUUUUUCUUUUUUUGAGACAGCGUCAUACUCUGUUCCCAGGCUACAGUGCAGUGGCAUAAUCUCGGCUCACUGCAACCUCCGCCUCCCUGGUUCAAGUGGUCCUCCCACUCAAUAACUACACAAGGGGGGCCCUGCAUUUUCAUUUUGUACUGGACUUCCCAAAUUACAUAGCUGGUCCUGAAUGCCAGAAUGGCCAGUGAGGGGAGAUGUCUUUUGCCUCCUCCCCACCCCGAGGCCCAUGGUGCCCCACGAGGAAUGGGAUUCAACUUGUCCUGAGUCUUUUUGCCCCCAGAAUGGCCUUUUUCUCCAGCUCACUGCUUAAUGCCUUCACUGUCUUGUUUUCAAUCCUUUCCUCGCUAUGAGUACAUAUUGGUUUCCUACUGCAGACAUAACAAAGUGCCACAACCUUGGUGGCUUAAACAGUAUGAAUGGACUAUCUUACAGUUCUGUGGUUAGGAGUCCCACCUGGGUCUCAAUGGGCUGAAAUCAAAGUAUCGGCCAGGUGCGGUGGCUCACGCCUGUAAUCUCGGCACUUUGGGAGACUGAGGCGGGUGGAUCACAAGGUCUGGAGAUUGAGACCAUCCUGGCCAACUUGCUGAGAUUCUGUCUGUACUAAAAAUACAAAAAAUUAGCCAUGUGUGGUGGCACACGCCUAUAGUUUCAGCUACUCGGGAGGCUAAGGCAGGAGAAUCACUUGAACCUGGGAGGCAGAGGUUGCUGAGAUCACGCCACCGCACUCUAGCCUGGGUGACAGAGCAAUACUCUGUCUCAAAAAAAAAAAAAAAAAGUAUCUCCUUGAGGCUCUGAGGGGAGAAUUUGUCUCCCUGUGUAUUCUAGCUUCUGGAGGCCACCCACCUUCCUUGGCUUAUGGCCCCUUCCUCCAUCUCCAAAGCCAGCAAGGGUGGGUGGAAUUCUUCCUUCCCGGCAUUCCCCUGGCUUCCUUUUCUGCCUCCCUCUCCUGCUUGCAAGGAUCCUGGAUGAUCUCCUUAUUUGAAGGUCUGCUGAUUAAUCCCAUCUUCAACCUUAAUUACCCUUUGCAGUGUAAACUAACAUACUCAAAGAUUCUGGGAAUUAAAGUAGGGACAUCUUUGGAGGGGGUCACUUUUUUACCUACCUUAUCUUUUUCCUUCUUUCCACAAUCCAGAGUUCUAGCUUAUCAGGUCCCUUGACAUAUUUUGUUUAAAGCUUUUUUAUAUUAACCUUAAAGAGAAACUGAUGGAAAAGAAGGAGAGAAAAAGGGGUAGGGGGAAGAGCGGUGAAGGAAGAGGUAAAGAUGUUUAUAACCUCUCGAUUUAUGUUUUUGUGUUCAAAACUCCCUCCACUACUUCCGCCUCUAUUUAGCACUAUUAUGUCUUACAUACUUGAGAUCUACAAAAAUUUUAAAGUUUGAAGAAAAAUGUACUUAUGAGAAAGUGGUAGGAAUCAUACCCAUUGAGCAGGUAUAAGAAUUGAGGUCUUAGAAAAGGGCUUUUUGGAAGGAGACUAGAAGAGCGAAAUCCCCAAAUAAUUGCAUUUCUCUCUUUUCCUCUGAAUAUGGAAGCUCUGCUCUGGAUCUCACUAAUUGCCUGCGACUCUGAAAUUUCUCUAGAAAAUCUUCAAUCACUUCCUCCCUCCAAGGUUCUCCCUUCCUUUGAAGGGGCAUGCAAAACUCCGAGUCAAUGCUAACGUUCCCCUGUGGGUCCCUUACAUGCAUUUCUCCCCCGGCUGGGACUCGCAAACAUGAGCUCUUGGGCAUAUUGCUGAGCGAGGAUCCUGGCGUGGCAAGUGCAGCCAGCUGGUCUCGUACCCACAUCUUUUCAGUAAAUUUCUCUCAAGCAUAUGUACACACACAAAUACGCCUUCUGUUGAAGGCAAUGAAAUAAUCUUUCACCGCAGAGGCUGGAGAAAAUGUGCAGAACUGUGAAAUGAAAGCAGUGCUUUCAGGUCUGGUUAUGGUUUUUCAUGGAGUGGAGACCCUGUUGUCACCAUUGCUGAGCACUCGCAGGCCGCGUGGAAGUCUGGUGGGACACGUUAGUCUCCAGUGCAGGCUCCUGGGAGAGGCAUCCCACUCCAGCCUGGCUAAGGAGGCUCCACAGUCAGCCCCAUCUCAGGGCUGUCUUCCUUUCUUUGUGGCACAGAUCACGCUUGGAGAUCACCUUAUGGAUCUGCUCGUGUGUUGUCCAACUCCUCACUGGAAUGUAAGCCCAACCAUCUGUUUUGCUUCCCGCUGUUCCCCCAGUGGACUUAGAUGCUCAAUCCACUUCGUCACAUGCCUGGGUAUGGGUAAAGUGUGUCUUUGUUCUAUGCCCAUGGGUCAUUGCACCUGUGCAUUGGGCCACCCUACCCCUCUGCCGUGGGGUUGCCUACCUGAUCCAAGCUUCUGGCUCGUCCUCUUCUCCCUCUGGGGAAUCUGACCUACAAUACAGGGACAGGCUUUGCUAGCUAGAGGUCACUCUGCAGGAAACAUGGGCUGCACCAGGUCCUGGGGAGCUGAAACAAGAGGGCAGAGGAAGCUGAUUCCUGCCAGGACUGGGACAACAGCAAGGGAAGCCGAGGUUCCACGGGUCCUCUCAGGGCACUGUCUAGUGGAAGAGAAGCAAUGAGCCCUUGCAGCUCAGCACCAUGGUGCCCUCACAGGGCCAGCUCUGGGCUGCUGGGCACAGAAAAGCAAACUGCACUUUCCUUCUGAGGGCAGCCCGGGAAGGCUUCCAGAGGAGGGGAUCUUGAGUUGAAACAUGAAGAAUGAGUGGGCAUGCCAGGGGUGAGGAGAUGAAUGCAAAUCCCAUUACUGCUGCUGUGUCAGAUCCUCUCCCUAAAAGAACUCCUCUCUCUCUUUCUCUCUCUUUGAGACAGGGUCUUGCUCUGUUGCUCAGGCUGGAGUGCAGUGGUGAGAUCAUAGCUUAUUGCAACCUUGACCUCUUGGGCAAGCAGUUCUCCCACCUCACCCUCCAGAGGGGUUAAGACAUUCGCAAGCCACCACAGCUGUCUAAUUUCUAUUUUUCAGUUUUUGUAGAGGCAGGGUCUUACUUUGUUGCCCAGACUGGUCUUGAACACCUGGCCUCAAGUGAUCUUCCUGCCUUGGCCUCCCAAAGUGUUGAGAUUACAGGGGUGAGCCACUGCACCCGGCCUUCCCAAUUUCUUUCUCUGUGAAAGAGAAUAAGAGUCUCCAUGGUUUUGAGGGGUCACAACAAUGGGAGCUCAAGUGCCUGACUCCUGGCACUUGUAGCAGGUAGCUCUUAUUCCAGGUGACAAGGUGGCAUACACUUCCUGUCUGCUCUCUGCCCUUCAUUUCCUCCCUAUUGCCUUGUCUGGGUUCAAACCCUCUUCCUUGCCCAAGCUUGCAUGGCGGCUGUUGCCUGUACCAAUUUCACGAUUAAGACCCAUGUGCCUCAGCCAGGGCUGUGCCUGGAUGCCACCCAGUGUGACCCCUGACCAGUAGCCCAGGCUGCCCCUGGCUUUUUUCUUGCCUUCAUCAUUAGGAUCUAUGCAUCCCCCUGGGGCUUGCAGUGACGCCCAGCACAGCUGCUGUCAUGGCCUGCCAGCUCUGCCUGCCCCACCCUUUGCUGUUCAAAGCCAAGCCCCUAACCAGGCUGGGUCUGAGGAACAGGGUGGACGUAGAUCAAAGGCGUGGCCAUUUGAGGAGCAUUCCAUGAUAACAUCACCAGCAGCUAGGUUCUGCUGCUUUGGGGAAGUCACUCAUGCUUUGUCCCACCCCUGCCACCUUCUUUCUUUUCUUUAUUUUUCUCAGGGCCAUGGAGAAAGGAUUCAUGAGCUCAUGUCUCAGAAAUGCUUUGAAGAUGAGAAACACUGAGCAUUUUCCCAACAGCCCUCAAUUUACUUUUUCAGCAUUCUCUCUGGGUUGUCAAGCCUUUGUAGUUAUUUUUAUAAAUAGUAAUCGCUGGCUGCUUCCAUUUUUACCCAGGAAAACUCCACCUCCAGCUGGAACUGGCUGCCAUCCUACAGCAAACCAGCCUUGGGGCUAGAUCUGUCCCCAUUUUUCUUGACCAAAUCCCUUUGUACAUCCCUCCCUGUGUUGCAGACCCCACCUCACUGUCUCUUGUAUGCUUCCAAUUCCACCCUGUCUCCCUGUCACCAAGCCACCCAUCUGUCCCAAUUACUCCUCUCUUCAUAAACAGUCCAAGUUCUCCAACAUGGCGCAGAAGGCCCUCAGUGAAUUAGCCACCACUCACCUGUUUAGCCACAUCCCUGGUCUUGUCCCUACCACUUCCGGGCUCAGUCAUCCUGAACUACCUGUUGUUCCCUAAAAUGGCAGGCCAGGUCACGCCUCCAGGCCAGGAGGGAAGACAGUCCAUAGAAAACAGAGACGGAGGCCGGGUGUGGUGGCUCACACCUGUAAUCCCAGCACUUUGGGAGGCCGAGGUGGGCAGAUUGCCUGAGGGCAGGAGUUUGAGAUCAGCCUGACCAACCUAGUGAAACCCUGUCUUUACUAGAAAUACAAAAAUUAGCUGGGCAUGGUGGCACGUGCCUGUAAUCCCAGCUACUUGGGAGGCUGAGGGAGGAGAACUGAUUGAACCAGGAAGGUGGAGGUUGCAGUGAGCCACGAUCAUGCCACUGCACUCCAGCCUGGGUGUCAGAGGGAGACUCUGUCCCCCCGCCAAAAAAAGAAAACAGAGAUGGAGUCUAGCGGUGGGUCUGCCCUAGUGUGGAGGGUAGAGUGGGCUCCUGGACCGAUGCGGUUAUGUUUUGUUUUGCUUUUUGGAGACAUGGUCUCACUCUGUCACCCAGACUGGAGUACAGUGGCACAAUCAUGGCUCACUGCAGACUUAAGCUCUUGGGCUCAAGUGAUCCUCUCAUCUCUGCCUUUCAAGUAGCUGGGACUACAGGUGCCAGCCAUCCCACUUAGCUAGUUUUGUUUUAAGAGAUGGGGUCUCUCUAUGCUGCCCAGGUUAGCCUGGAACUCCCGGCCUUGAGUGAGCCACCUGACUCGGGCUCCCAAAGUGCUGAGAUUAUAGGCUUGAGCCACCAUGCCAGGCCAAAUGGUGCACAGUUUUUAAAUGAAAUAUUUAAAUCAUCUAAAGAGUCACGGGGAAUAAUGUAAUGAAUAUAAUACAAUACAAUGAAUACAAUGAAUAACACAAUGGCCUAAUAAAUGACAAGUUACCUUUAUAUCUAUGGAACUUUUUUUUAAUCCCUCCAGCUCUCCCCACCAAUGAAAACUCAGGCUGGGUGCAGUGACUCAUGCCUGUAAUUCUAGCACUUUCAGGGGCCAGAGUGGCCGGAUCACCUGAGGUUGCGAGUUCGAGACCAGCCUGACCAACAUGGAGAAACCCUGUCUCUACAAAAAAUACAAAAGUAGCUGGGCAUGGUGGCGCAUGCCUGUAAUCCCAGCUACUCAGGAGGCUGAGGCAGAAGAAUCGCUUGAACCUGGGAGAUGGAGGUUGCAGUGAGUUGAUACAGCACCACUAUCCUCCAGCCUGGGCAACAAGAGCAAAACUCAAGAAAGAAAGAAAGAAAGAAAGAGAGAAAGAGAGAGAAAGAAAAAGAGAGAGAGAGAGAGAGAGAG